CAUUUCUUUUCUCUUUCUCUCUCUCUCUCUCUCUAUUUUUUGAUUCGAAUUAAAGAAAUAAAGAGAGAAAGAGAGAGAGAGAGAAAAAAAUUAG
rnacentral:precursor_RNA from 1 species